UUUCCGUAGGUGAACCUGCGGAAGGAUCAUUAUCGAAUUUCGAGGGGAAGGAAGAUGAGGAGUGGAGACCGUCGCUGGCUUUCCCGCCUGGGAAGCAUGUGCACGCCUUGCUUUUCGUUGACCUUUCUCUUACUCUCACACCUGUGCACCCAUUGUAGGUCCUCGAAAGAGGAUCUAUGUUUUUAUCAUCACACGCAUCGUAUGUCCAUAGAAUGUAACAUGAUCGCCGAUCGACCUCGCGGUCGGGUGGCGGUCUAAAUAAAUAAAUACAACUUUCAGCAACGGAUCUCUUGGCUCUC
rnacentral:misc_RNA from 1 species